AGAGUACAUCUUCAAAUUACUUUUGUAUCAUAUUGUUGAUACUGUUAACACGAAUUCCCUUUAUCUUACAAGGCUCUGAAAUGCAUUUGGCUAAGCCAUCUUUUGAAGUAUCUUGCACAAAUAAUGCAAAAGAAGAAAUGUGCAAUUCCACCACAGCCUGUGGAUGGAAUGGUUUCCUGAAACAAGUGCAAUUUAUUUGCUCUAAAGUUUUGAACGGCGAGUUCCAAUGCAAGCAUGAAAUAACUGAACCUUCGGAGAAAGAAACAUGUAAAAAACUAAUGGAGAAUUUUUGCAAUAAUAACUCCGAAUGUGGAUUCAAUCACUCUGCUAUUAUUAACAACAAUGCUUUAAAAUGCACCAUAAAGAUUAAACAAGCAUUGUCGACACAAUCAAUUGUGUCAGCAGUGAAAGCGGAUGAACCCAGAAAUGAAACAUCUGGAAACGACGCAAAUUCCAACUGGUCGAACAAUUUCACUUGCAUUUGCAUUGCCAGCAUUAUCAUUGGAUUUUUCAUUGGAUUUUUCAUUGG